GAUGAACGCUGGCGGCGUGCCUAAUACAUGCAAGUCGAGCGAACCACUUCGGUGGUGAGCGGCGAACGGGUGAGUAACACGUAGGUGAUCUGCCCAUCAGACGGGGACAACGAUUGGAAACGAUCGCUAAUACCGGAUAGGACGAAAGUUUAAAGGUGCUUUUGGCACCGCUGAUGGAUGAGCCUGCGGCGCAUUAGCUAGUUGGUAGGGUAAAGGCCUACCAAGGCAACGAUGCGUAGCCGACCUGAGAGGGUGAACGGCCACACUGGGACUGAGACACGGCCCAGACUCCUACGGGAGGCAGCAGUAGGGAAUCUUCGGCAAUGGGCGAAAGCCUGACCGAGCAACGCCGCGUGAAUGAUGAAGGCCUUCGGGUUGUAAAAUUCUGUUAUAAGGGAAGAACGACUUUAGCAGGAAAUGGCUAGAGUGUGACGGUACCUUAUGAGAAAGCCACGGCUAACUACGUGCCAGCAGCCGCGGUAA
rnacentral:rRNA from 1 species